rnacentral:rRNA from 1 species
UACGUAGGGUGCGAGCGUUGUCCGGAAUUAUUGGGCGUAAAGGGCUCGUAGGCGGUUUGUCGCGUCGGGAGUGAAAACCUUGGGCUUAACUCAGGGCUUGCUUUCGAUACGGGCAGACUAGAGGUAUGCAGGGGAGAACGGAAUUCCUGGUGUAGCGGUGAAAUGCGCAGAUAUCAGGAGGAACAUCGAUGGCGAAGGCAGGUCUCUGGGCAUUAACUGACGCUGAGGAGCGAAAGCAUGGGGAGCGAACAGG